rnacentral:rRNA from 1 species
AUUGAACGCUGGCGGCAGGCCUAACACAUGCAAGUCGAGCGGAUGAAGGGAGCUUGCUCCUGGAUUCAGCGGCGGACGGGUGAGUAAUGCCUAGGAAUCUGCCUGGUAGUGGGGGAUAACGUCCGGAAACGGGCGCUAAUACCGCAUACGUCCCGAGGGAGAAAGUGGGGGAUCUUCGGACCUCACGCUAUCAGAUGAGCCUAGGUCGGAUUAGCUAGUUGGUGGGGUAAAGGCCUACCAAGGCGACGAUCCGUAACUGGUCUGAGAGGAUGAUCAGUCACACUGGAACUGAGACACGGUCCAGACUCCUACGGGAGGCAGCAGUGGGGAAUAUUGGACAAUGGGCGAAAGCCUGAUCCAGCCAUGCCGCGUGUGUGAAGAAGGUCUUCGGAUUGUAAAGCACUUUAAGUUGGGAGGAAGGGCAGUAAGUUAAUACCUUGCUGCUUUGACGUUACCAACAGAAUAAGCACCGGCUAACUUCGUG